rnacentral:rRNA from 1 species
AACGAACGCUGGCGGCAGGCUUAACACAUGCAAGUCGUACGAACGUAGCAAUACGUGAGUGGCGCACGGGAGAGUAAUACAUGGGAACAUGCCUUUUGGUUCGGAAUAACGUCGGGAAACUGACGCUAAUACCGGAUAAGCCCUAAGGGGGAAAGAUUUAUCGCCAAUAGAUUGGCCCAUGUUAGAUUGGCUAGUUGGUAGGGUAAUGGCCUACCAAGGCUACGAUCUAUAGCUGGUCUGAGAGGAUGACCAGCCUCACUGGGACUGAGACACGGCCCAGACUCCUACGGGAGGCAGCAGUGGGGAAUAUUGGACAAUGGGGGAAACCCUGAUCCAGCCAUGCCGCGUGAAUGAUGAAGGCCUUCGGGUUGUAAAGUUCUUUUGACGGGGACGAUGAUGACGGUACCCGUAGAAUAAGCUCCGGCUAACUUCGUGCCAGCAGCCGCCGUAA